rnacentral:tRNA from 1 species
GGUAAGAUGGCUGAGUAAUAAGCGGUGGAUUGUAGCCCCAUAAACAGAGGUUUAAUUCCUCUUCUUACCA